UCUCCCUCAUUUUGAAAUCAGUUUUCUCCACCUGCACCACUGCAUAGCACAGAUACAGAAACCAUCCUAUUUCAGGAUUUGAAUGCAAAACUUACCUUCUUACUCUAAAGAUGAAUGAUCAGGGAGAGAUUUAUUCAACCCUGAGAUUUUUGCAGUCUCCUUCAGAGUCACAGAAUAGAUUAAGGCCUGAUGAUACUCAAAGGCCUGGGAAAACUGAUGACAAAGGCAAAUUCUCUGAAGACCACGGGUCCUGUUGUGGAGUAAACUGUUAUUAUUUUACCAU
rnacentral:lncRNA from 1 species